GAUGAACGCUGGCGGCGUGCCUAAUACAUGCAAGUCGAGCGAACGGACGAGAAGCUUGCUUUUCUGAUGUUAGCGGCGGACGGGUGAGUAACACGUGGAUAACCUACCUAUAAGACUGGGAUAACUUCGGGAAACCGGAGCUAAUACCGGAUAAUAUUUUGAACCGCAUGGUUCAAAAGUGAAAGACGGUCUUGCUGUCACUUAUAGAUGGAUCCGCGCUGCAUUAGCUAGUUGGUAAGGUAACGGCUUACCAAGGCAACGAUGCAUAGCCGACCUGAGAGGGAGCAGGGCCACACUGGAACUGAGACACGGCCAAGACUCCGACGGGAGGCACCAGAAGGGAAUUUUCCGCAAGGGGCGAAGGCCUGACGGAGCCACGCCGCGUGAGUGAUAAGGGUCUUCGUAUCAAAAAACUCUUUUAUUAGGGAAAAAAAAAUGUGAAAGAAACUGUGCACAUCUGGACGUAACAUAAAAAAAAGGCCACGACAAACAACGGG
rnacentral:rRNA from 1 species